ensembl:misc_RNA Metazoa_SRP Metazoan signal recognition particle RNA
GCCCGAUGAAGUGGCUGUGCCUGUAGUCCCAGCUACUUGGGAGACUGAGACAAGAAGAUCUCUUGAGAUCAAGUGUUCUGGGCUAUAGUGUGCUAUAAUGAUCGGGUGUCCACACUAAGUUCGGCAUCAAUAUGGUGACCUCCUGAAAGCCAGAGGCCACUAGGUUGCCUAAGGAGGGGUGAACCGGCCCAAGUUGGAAACAGAGCAGGUCGAAACUCCUGUGAUGAUCAGUAGUGGAAUUGUGCCUGUGAACAGCCACUGUACUCCAGCCUGGGCAACAUAGUGAGACCCCCAUCUCU